rnacentral:rRNA from 1 species
UACGUAGGGUGCAAGCGUUAAUCGGAAUUACUGGGCGUAAAGCGUGCGCAGGCGGUUAUGUAAGACAGAUGUGAAAUCCCCGGGCUCAACCUGGGAACUGCAUUUGUGACUGCAUAGCUAGAGUACGGUAGAGGGGGAUGGAAUUCCGCGUGUAGCAGUGAAAUGCGUAGAUAUGCGGAGGAACACCGAUGGCGAAGGCAAUCCCCUGGACC